CGCUUGAUAGCGAUUGGUGAACAGUCUUGUACGCUCGGUGCUUUACUGGUUAUUUUAUUAUUUUCUGCGCACAAUGUGCGUAAACAAGCAGGGGCCGCAGUCUGCAGAGAUAUCGAAAUGCACGCAAACGUGUGUUGUGGUAAAGUAUGACUAGCAUUAUGACCAAAACACUAUGCUCUUGUCAGUCUUGUGUCGUUGAAUUCGUAAAUUAAUGACUAAAAAUAAAAGGUACAAGAUACUAAAUAAUAAA